AUGCCAUGGUGUGGACACUACCUUUGCAAAGCCUUUGUAUCUCUGCCAUGCUUCAUAUAGGGACUCCAAUUCAUGCUGUUGAAAACUAGAUAUCUCAUUUCUGAACUU
rfam:Beta vulgaris subsp. vulgaris chromosome 6, whole genome shotgun sequence.